GAAUUCCAUGACCCAGUUUACAGUAAAUUGGAAGUAGACAGAAGGUGUAUUAGUCUGACCACAAAGAUGGAAAAGAAAAUCUAUCAAAAAAGAGACAGACUACUCAGUCAGAUAAUGAGGCCCUUCAAGUUAUAAAUAAGCUUUCCUGCUUAUAUCAGGACACCUUCAUCCUAUUAUUGUAUUAUAGCAUAGUACAAUUAUAUUUGGUCACAAUACUGACAAUGAGUCAUCCACAGCAUCAUCACCCAGCAUUUAUUGAUGUCUACUGUAAAGUAGAGUUGGAUGGCACCAUUUCUGCUCUCAAACAGUUUAAAAGAUCCCUGUGCAGAAAAAGACGUAUUUAGAACAUUUUGGUUGGUAAGGUGAUAUGUAACAAACUUGAGAUCUUAUAGGAUAGGAGAACACUAGGACACUAAUUAGGAACUGGUCCCAGGAACAAAGACCUUCUGGACUCAUCUGACAAGAUAAGAAUCAUCAAGCAUUCUUCCAGCAGAAAGUGACAAAGCCCUCCUUGAGCUGCUCAUGAGAAUUCACAAAUUUUUCAGAUAAAAGAUGCCUAUUUUAUUCUGGCUGAAAGCAUGAACAGAAUAAACAAUGAGCUCUGUGAAGAAUGUUCUAUGAACCCGAAUCAAACUCAAACUCCUGUGUCACUCCGGUACGCCUGAUCACUGGAUAUAACCACGUAUUGGUCCAGAACCUCCCUCUCUGUUACUACUCCCUUUGGAUUUAUCCAGUAGUCUUAGACGUCACCAGGGCCAAGCCAUGCAUAUAUAGAUUGAAAUGUUGUUUUCAAAACCUACUCAAGCUAUCUCUUGAUGAACAAGAUUAGUACCAUCUGAUUACAACCCUGAAGAGUCUAGAUUCCUUAUUCUGCAAAAUGGAUUUAUUGUAUCUCAAGGCACUGUGAAGUUUGCAGUAGCAUGUAUAGGCAAAAAGGAAAGUCCAAAGAGAGGAAAAGAAAGCAGGAGAGAUCUGAAAUGACACAAGAAGUGACUCAGAAUGGGAAGAUUGUGCACUCCUUGUUGUCCCCUAAUGCACAUGGAAGUAUGCAACAGAAGCUGUGAAAAUAACCCAGACUUGGAGCUGAAGAAGCUGACCACAGGCCUAAAGAAGCUUGCAACCGACUAAAGAAAGGAAACAGGAGGGAUCCUUGUGAUGAUAGAAAUGUUCUAUAUCUUGACUCUAUCAAUGUAAAUGUCCUGUGAUUUUGUUGUGAUGUUGGACCACACUUUACAAAUACCGCCAUCAGGAAAAAACUAGUAAAGGAUUUGUGAAGCUUCUAUUACUUCUUAAAUUCACAGGUGAAUAUACAGUUAAAAUUAGAAAGUUAAUUUAAAAUAUUUAUUCAAUGCUUUCUGUGUGCCAAGUACAAUUAUAGAUGCUAGGAAAUAAGCAGUGAGCAAUGCCAACACCAUCUCUUCAAGAUGUUUGCAAUCUAGUUAGGGAAACAGACAAUAAACAAACAAUAAAAAUGUCAAGUGGUGAAAAUGAAGGAAAAAAAAACAGUAGUGAACAUAUAGAAAGAUAGAGGAGAUGAUAUUUCACAUAUGGCAUUGGGAGUGGUCUUGGCAUGGUCAAAGAAUAGUAACUAGGCCUUUGUAUCCAAAGUGUGGUUAAUGAGGUGGAGACUGGUAGGAUUUUGAGUUCCAACAUAGUGGGAAGCCAGAUCAUAUAGUGCCUUCACUCAUAAUAAGGCUCAAUUUUAAUCUAAGUGUGUGAAAGGUGCUGAGGGAGAGGGAUCAUGUAUAAUUUUGAAUAGGGCAUUGCCUUGUUCUGACGUGUUUAAAUAAGGUGACUAUGGCUGUCUUGUUGAGAACAGACUGAUGAGGAGGACGUAACCUAUUGAUUUUCAGUUUUGUAUUUCAUUUGCAUUUGGGUUUUGGUUUUGUUUUGUUUUGCUUUCCUUAUUUCCUUU
rnacentral:lncRNA from 1 species